CAGUAUGGAAUAUGGACACGCUUAAAUGUCGAGUGAAAGAAGUUAUGCCAUCAAAUAGUUGCUCCAAUCUUUCCUUUCGAACCAAGCACAUUUAGAUACAAAAUCUUCGACUCAUCUUAUAAUUUAUUAUAUGAAAAGUUUUACUUGAUGGUAAGAUAUGCUUGGAGAAUAUUCUUCUAAUCUGAUGAUAGACGGUUAUUUUUCCGUUGCAGGUGAAUUUGAUAGCUAAACUAAGCCAUCCAUAUCUUUUAGAGUACAAAGAUGCUUGGGUGGACAAGGGGAGCUGUAUAUGCAUCGUUGCCGAUUAUUGCGAAGAUGAAAAUAUGGCGGAGGUCAUGAGGAAGUCUAGAGGAGCACUAUUCCCGGAAGAGAAACUCUGCAAAUGGCUGACUCAUCUAUUGUUAGCUUUGGAGCAUCUGCAUUCCAACCGCGUUCAUCAUAGAGACCUCAGGUUAUGUAACAUAUUCAUCACAAAGGACA